UGACCUUAUUUUUUACUUUUUUUUUGAGUCUGUGCAUGUAUCUUACAAAUGGAUACAUCCACCUAUAGUGCACUGGUCUCCCCACUUUAACUUUAUAUAUGCCGGAUAAAUCAUGAGAUGCUCCAUUGAGUCAAAGAAACUAGGAGAAAAUAUCUUCUCCAAUUUGCAUAUAGCCUCUAUAAUACUAGCCUUAAGAUUAGAAAUAUGGUCGGCGGAU
rnacentral:lncRNA from 1 species